rnacentral:rRNA from 1 species
AUGAGCGAGAGCAAGGGCCCUGGCAUAACCUGCCGUCGCCGCGGCAGCUCCCUGCCAGACGACGACGAUCUCCUUUGGGAGAUCCUCCUCCGCCUCCCGCCGCAGCCGUCAUCUCUCCCGCGCGCCUCCGCUGUCUGCAAGCAGUGGCGGCGCCUCGUCAUCGACCCCAGGUUCCUCUGCAGCUUCUACGUGCACCACCGGAAGCCGCCCCUUCUUGGCUUCUUCGGGUGCUACCACAACGUCGUGUUCACACCGGUCCUUGAUGCUCCCGACCGCAUCCCUCCUAAACGCUUCAACCUUGGACGCUACAGCUGCAGCCACAACCACGGUGCACUUGGCGGGACCCCCCACAAGAACUACGUGCUCGGAUGUCGCCACGGUCGUGUCCUCAUCAUUGACUCUGCAUCCAUGGAGAUCGUCGUGUGCGCCCCUGUCACUCACGAGCAGCGCCGCGUGGCCAUUCCGCCUAAGUUCAAAAAGGUUUUACACUACGUUAACGGGGCGGUGCUCUGUGCUGCCCGCAACCAGGGCCACGUGCAUGGCGGCUGUCACUCCAGCCCUUUCAAGGUCGUCUUGGUGAUCAUGUACAGCGAGGACAAUCAUCGACCCCUUGCAUGUGUUUAUUCCUCUGAAACCGACACAUGGGGCAAUCUCAUCUCAACGUCCGUUCCAUGUGUGGUUAUUGAUGCUUAUAGACCGGGGUCACUCGUUGGUAAUGCACUCUAUUGGUUGGAUACUAUGACAAAUGGCAUGCUUGAGUUUGAUUUGAAAGAUGAGAGUCUAGCUAUGAUCAGUGGUCCACCGGUUGCAGAUCACUCCAGCCAUAGUCAGAUCAUUCAGGGUGAGGAUGGCGCUCUUGUCUUUGCCAUAUUGUCUUAUCCACGCUUCUAUAUGUGGAACAGGAACAUCAAUGAUCACGGUGUUGCCACGUGGGUGAUGUGGAAGACCGUUGAAAUGCACAACAUUCUUCGGCCCCCUCUUCAGACUGAGAGAGGGGUGAGAGGGGCAAAAACUAUACUGGGAUAUUCGGAGGAUACUGAUGUGAUUUUUAUAUAUGUGAACGGUAGUGUCUACAUGGUUCAUCUUAAGUCAAUGCAAUCCAAAAACCUUCAUGAAACAAGCUAUAUCACUGACUACCAUCCUUUCACAGCUUUUUAUUCCCCAGGGAUAACCAAUGUUGGUGGAUGUGAUGGAGCUGAAGUCUUGCACGAUGCAUUGGGAUAA